CACAGGGCAGUCCUGUAUUAUAGCAGGUUCAGAGGUAGCAUGGUCCUCCGGCAGGAGAGGGUUAACCCUUGUAGUGCUGGUCAAUCAGUGCUGUUUAGUAGAUAAUCCAGACUCCAGACCAGGUGUAGUGGUUAACCCUUGCAGUCCUGGGCAAUCAGUUCUGUAUAAUAGAUCAUUCAGACUCCAGACCAGGUGUAGUGGUUAACCCUUUCAGUGCUGGGCAAUCAGUGCUGUUUAUUAGAUAAUCCAGACUCCAGACCAGGUAACCCUUGCAGUGCUGGGCAAUCAGUGCUGUUUAGUAGAUGAUUCAGGAUCCAACCCGCCAGCCCAGGUCUGGUGUGAGUGGUAGCUUUCAC